rnacentral:lncRNA from 1 species
CUAGACCUAAGGGACAUCAGAUGAAAAAAAGGAAAAAGCUCCCUUCUUAAAAAAAAUACGCAUCUGAGAGAAGGCUUCUUCUCCAUUUUCACGCUCGCUCAACUCAUUUUUGCUUUCAUCUUCUUCCACAUCUCUCGCACACACACGAAAAAUACACACGCACAUAUGCGUUCAACAACAAACGAAAAAGAAAGAAAGAAAAAUUCGAAAUUUUGGUUUUAAAAGAGCUCGAAAUUUUGGUUUUAAAAUAGGUGAUUUAGCCUCAAGUCACUGUUCAAUGAAGCUGUCUAAUGUUGGUUUUGUGAUGCAGAAGCUCCAACCAGUUGUGGUCCUCGCAUUUGUUUGGAUCCUCUUUUCGUUUCUAGAAUUAAUCCUUGCACGUUAGCGAUUACCUAUUGUUCCGAAGAUGGAGGAAUAAAUCGAACAAGAAAGGUCUUUUCUAUUCCUCAUAUCAUUUACUAAAUCUGCUUAUGUAUAUUAGAUGAAGAAGUAUCUUAUAUUUCUUUCAUUUGUGCUAGCAAAAUUCAUAAUUCAAUAAAGGCAAAAAAAGUAUUUUUUUCUCUCUUGGCAUAUUUGUAUGCAUGUUGUUCGAUAAACUGAAAAAAGUUAUCUCUUUGAAAUAAGAAUAUGCAUUUAUUUUUAGCUAGGAUAAGUAAAAAAUAAAAAGGAGAAAAGACCUCUAUUUCAUGCAAAUCCCGGAUCUAAUUUGUAAAGAAAAUGAGCACAACCAAUACUAUUAAUAUGAUGAGGACGUAAUAUUAUAUGAGUUUCAAAAAUAGACCUACAGUUUCUGAAUGCAUCUAAAUAGCAAUAGUUUUGUACAAAAUCAUCCACUCCUUUAUGUGUCCAUUUACAGAAGUCAAUUUGUGCAAUACUUGAUGUUAAGUUUCUAAAGUGUUUCCAAGGCAAUUGGACUUACUGAAUGACCCCUCAAAGUUCAAUUGGAUCCCAUUUCGUAGUAGCAUGUGAUCUAUGAAAGUCCAAAUUGGAUGCUCAACCUUUUGAACCCAAUAACUUUGUAGUUUAGUUGCAAAACUUUUCUAGAUUAAUUAAUGAGGUUUUCAUUUGAUUAUAUAACAAUUUAUCAAUCUGCCAACCUUUAGGUGUUUUGGUUACAAAUGAUUCCAUAAACUCUUUGGACCUCCGCAAUGUACCUCAAACUUUAGUUGGUUAAACAAAUUAUGAAGACGCGCUAGUUUCUCUAGGCGCAAUUAGUAAUAACUCAUCGUGUCUAUGGGGACGGUUCCCGUGGCAUGCUCACGAUACCUAAUCCCCAAAAUCAGGUAUGUAUUUCAUGUGACCGGAUCAUAACAACUUUGAACAAUAAUAAAAUAUACAUGUCGCGAGUCGCGAGUGAAUUUCAUGUAGCGUGGUUUGCGGUUUGUCCCGAAACGGCAAGUGUGCGGCAAUCGUACCUUGUUCAAGAAAUAAUUUCAUAAAUCCUAAAAAGCAAUUAUAAAGUUAAAAAUGCACACACUAGGUUUAAAACAUGUAAUUAAUCAGAUAAUUAGGCCAAUUAUUGAUAGUUAAAGCGAUCAUGCUCGAACCACGGAACCCGGGAAUGCCUAACACCUUCUCCCGGGUUAACAAAAUUUCUUACCUAGUUUUCUGGUUUCGCAGACUUUUAAAUAAAGUCGAUUUUCCUCGAUUUGGGAUUUUUAAAAUAAACCGGUGACUUGAGACACCAAAAUAAUUUUUCCAAGUGGCGACACUAAAAUUAAAUAAAAAAUAAUCCCAUAUCGAAUUAUGUCACUUUGAUUGGAAAAACUCCCUUAUACCCCUUCUCGUGUGGUAAAAAGGAUGUGCGACAGCUCUGGCAACUCUGCUGGGGAAGUUAGAACCCCGAACUUCUGGUUCAGGGUUCAAGAAUUCGAGCUUGUUAAUGUGAUUUUUAUUUGGCUUUAUUUAUUGUUGAUAUUAUUGUAUUUUGUGGACCUAAUGUGCUAAUUGCCAUUUAUUUACCGCUUUGAUAUUACUUGAACUGUAUUUAAAUGUCUUCUUACGCCUCCCUUCUGAGUCUUCUAAAAAACGGUGCACACGUUCGCGUGACUCACUUUUUCUGUUAGAAGUUAUACCAAAUAGAACGAGGUUGGGCCAUCAAAAAGGCCUGACAGACUUUCGUGCUCCCGGUACGUUUCCCCCUCUUCGGCUCGAGUCUGUUCGCUCUGGUAAGCCAGGUCUAGAACAUAAUCCCAGGUUUAAACUUAGGAUAACGUAACCUAAUGCCGGAUCCCUAGUAGGAACGUUUGUUUGCAUCACGUGCAUUUGACUUUGGGGACUCAACACAGGGAGUUGGGUCAGUCUAGGACAGGUAUACCCAAAAUAACAGACCAUCCUGAUGCAUCCUACGUGCUAUGUGAACAUUUAUUUGUUUCGACUUGCAUGUUGACCGACUAGGAAAAGAAAAUCAAGAGAAAACCCAAGAGUGUGUUAGGUAUUUGGAAAAUUCCGAAACUCUACCGAAAUUUUGAAAAAAAUAGAAGAAAAAUAAGCCAAUGUUUUCAAAAAGCCAUGUUUCCCUUGUUCCGUCAAAAUUGACCGAACUACGCGGGUCUGAUUCUCACCGGAUGUGAGAUACGCAUGCAAACUUUAUCGGUUCCGACCCCAAUCUUUAGAAAUCUUUCCUUAGAAAAUUCAAAAAAAAGUUUUUUUAAACUCAAAAAAGUAGUUUCUUUCUUUCUUUCUAAAGUCUUUCAUACGAAAAAAUGAAAUAAAAAAAACAAAAUAAAAAAAAAUAAAUCAAAAUCCAAGAUACGGGCUUCCUUCAUUUUGAAGUAUUUUUCCCAAAAAAUCAAAAAAAUCCGAAACAAAAAUCCAAAAAUAUCUUUUCUUCUUUGGAGUCUUUCUUUUAUAAAUGUCAUAAAAAAUUGAGAAAUAAAAAUCCAAAAAGUAUUUUCGCUUUUCUUUUAAAAUACUUUCGUAUAUUAAAAAGAGAAAAAGGAAAAAAAAGAGAAACUUAGAAAUCCAAAAUAUUUUCUUAAAAGCCCCCCUUUCGAAAAUUAGAGGCAACAUCCAAAAUUCAAAAAAAUACUUUCUUUCCUCUUUUUUAGAAAAAGAGAAAAUAAUUGAAAAUUCAAACAAAAAUAUUUUCUUUUUUACUUUCAAAAUUCCCAAAGUUCAAAUCAAAAGCAAAUAAAUGUUUAGAAGUUUUUCUUUAAAAAAUUUAAAAAAAAAAUCAAAAUUUAAAAAUUCAAAGAAAAUAUAAUAAAAUGUCCUUUCUUCUUUUAAAGCAUUUCUUUCGCAAAAAAAAAAUAAAAAAAAUGUUUUUCUUUUAUCUUAAAGCUUUCCUGGUCUGAGUUUUUAUAAAAAGUAAAAAAAAUAGUUAGUUUAUUUCCUUUAUUCCUGAUCUUUCCGAACUUCGCUAGAUCUGAUUCAUGCGGCGUCAUGAUACGUAGACAAUCCACAUCGGAUUCGAUCAUAUCCAUAAAUAAAUUGAGUGAAAAAUAAAUUAAAGAAAAAAAGUUGAGUAGAAAAGAAAGAAAAGAGUGAAAAAAGAAAAAAAGAAAAAGAAAAAAAAGAAAAAAAAAGAAAAAGAAAAAGAAAAAGAAAAAAAAAGAGUGACAUGAAAUAAAAGUGACAAAAACAAAAAAAAAAGAAAAAAAGAAAAAGAGAGUGCCAAAAUAGAAGAGCGACAGAAACAAAACAAAAAUCAAGAGUGAUUAGAGAAAAGCAAAAAUGAAGAAAAGAGGUACCGAUUGAGAAAAAAAGGAUUAAUUAAGGUCGGGAUGAAACAUGCAACUCGUUCAAGACAUAGUAGAAACGUUUAACUAUCUAGGUGCAUUGCAUCCAAAUAUGCAAUUUCCUAUCUGUUAAACGUCUCAAAACUAAUAAGGUUGUUGGGUGUGCAAAUUAGCCAGAUUUUUUUCAGGUGGUUGGUUUUAUUGGUAAUCUGGCUUCCCAUCCUUAUUUCACAAGAUCCAAAGGAAAGGUUCCUAUCAACUCUGAAAGCCAUCUACAAAUCAUCGAUCUUGAGGAUAGCCCAACACUGGCUAUCCCACAACCAGAAUCAGCAGUUGCUGAAGAGAAUAGGAUGCUGCGUCUCCGCAUAUCGGAAAUGUGGGUCGCCUGGUCCAAUGGUAGGGAACCGCCAAGUGCAAUCCUUGGGUUCCGUAAGUUGAUCCCCAGGUCAGGUGAGGUUACCAACGCCUAUGUGCCCAACCCGCUCAUCCCAUGCGGGGACCCUCCAAUGCCGUUCAAUGAUCCUGGCAUGCCUUCUGUGGUUCGCCCCCAGGCGCCACAUUCCUGGGCACCUCCAAUAUUGUUCUCUACAACACCAGUCUGCACCAGAGCAUAACCAACUUUACCACGACCGUAUAUUGAUCCUCCAAUGUUCACCAUUCAGGGUCCACAACUUCAAUCAGAAAUAACAUAUGUGACCCCGUAUUCUUUCACUCAACCUCCGCAAUAUGAUCUCUCGGUGGAGCAAGAAAAGGUUGUUAAAAAUCCCUAGCAAGCGGAAAUGGCUCGGAAAAUGAAGAGCCUAGAACAAUGCUUGAAAAACAUACAAGGUCUGAGUGGCCAAAAGAGUGUCUCAUACUCUGACCUCUGUAUAUUUUCCCAUGUCCACUUGCCAACUGGCUUUAAGAUGCCAAAAUUUGGAAAGUACAAUGGGAAUGGAGACCCGGUCGCUCACCUGAAACGAUACUGUAACCAAUUGAGAGGCGCUGGUGGAAAAGAGGAGCUGCUAAUGGCCUAUUUUGGCUAAAGCCUCACCGGAAUCGCUUCUGAGUGGUAUACGGAUCAAGAAAUUAGUCAUUGGCACGUGUGGGAUAAUAUGGCCCGAGAUUUUGUCCGCCAGUUACAGUAUAAUAUGGACAUCGCUCCCGAUAGAAACUCUUUGUCCAAUUUGAAAAAGAAAACCGCGGAGAGCUUCCGCGAAUAUGCUGUCAAAUGGCGUGAACAAGCUGCCGGGCUAAAGCCUCCAAUGGACGAAAUUGAAAUGGUCGCUGUCUUUCUAUAGGCCCAAGAGGCGGACUACUUCCAGAACAUGAUGUCCGCUAUGGGAAAGCCAUUUGCUGAGGCUAUCAAAAUUGGGGAGAUGGAAGAAAGUGGGCUAAAAACGGGUCGAAUCUGGAGUCAUGCUGCUUUUAAAGCUACACCACCAGAUGUUCAAAAUGGUUUAGAGGGUUUGAUAAAUGGAAAUGGGAGAGAAGAAGGAUCCAUGAUGGCUUCCAGCUAGAUGGGGGCCCACAGGUCAUUCAGCUAAUCAUAUAUGCUUCCUGAGGUCCCUCAAUAUUAUUAUCCCCUUCACGAUGCUGCUCAUGCCGUGGCACCGCCUCCUUAUGCGGUGAUGAGCGUGCAACCUUACACGCGGCCACAAUAUUAUCCAUAAAACCGAGCUCCACCUCUCAGAAAUGCCCAUCCUUACGAAGCUUCAUAUAAUCCUCAACCAAAUGAUCCCCAAUACAAUCCUUGCCCAAGAGAGUCUUUCAGAAAGAAUUAGUUCACCCCUAUUGGUGAAUCGUAUUCAAGCUUGUUCCAAAAGCUAAUCAGGCUAGAUUUAUUGUAGCCAGUGGCCCCGGCCUCGAGUCCCCAACGCACCAAGCUGAUGCUCGAUAUGAAUACCAAUCUGGAGCAGUGUGACACAGUACAGAAGACUGUUGGACCCUCAAAAGGGUAGUUAAAGAUUUGAUUGAAGUUGAAAGAAUUGUUUUUCAGGAUGAAGAAGCUCUUGAUGUGAUGAACAAUCUGUUGCCUGCCCACAAUAGUGGGCCAAUAGUAGGAAUGAUUUGUGAAUAUAAGGAAUUUGAUCCGGCACUGAAGGCUAUUGCAGCCAUUGCCGAGACAGAAGAAAAGCCAAAAAAUGAUCGCCAAGCAUGAAAGUUACCCAUCAGACAAGAGNNNNNNNNNNNNNNNNNNNNNNNNNNNNNNNNNNNNNNNNNNNNNNNNNNNNNNNNNNNNNNNNNNNNNNNNNNNNNNNNNNNNNNNNNNNNNNAAAAAAUCAAAAUCAAAAUCAAGAAAUCAAAUGAAAUUAAUAUUUUAUUGUACAGGAAUGUCUUUUUUCUUAAUCUUGUCAUUUUUCUUAUUCUCAUUUUAGUUCUGUUGAAUGCAGAUUUCAAUAACAUGACUUGCUUGCGGACUUCAUGCCCAGAUCUUAAAACAUUGUCAGACUUCGAAAUAAUAAGUCAAGAAUCAGAAUACAAUGAGGAUAAGUCUAAGGAAAUAAAAUAAAGAGUUGGAACAGUUGAAGAAAAAUUAGUUCCUGAUUGGAAAGGUCCAUACAUUGCAACAAGAGUAUUGGCAAAAAGAGUGCGUUGUACUUGGGACACAUUGAAGGAAAUGUCCCCCAAACAAUUGUCAAUGCAAAUGCAGCCAAAAGGUGCUACGUUGAUCCUCUAUAUGGUAUUAAUAUUCUCCGGUUGGGAUGAUGAAGACUUUCAUUCUCGCUAACCAAACACCGUUAACCUUUUUGUAAACCAUUUGAGUCGGUUACUCUUCUUUGAUUACCCUCUUUGGAACCUGAAAGUAUUAUUGAAAAAAAAAUUGAAACAUUGAGAAAAAUGAAUUGAAAAAAAUGAAAAAAGAGAAAAAAAAAUACAAAAAAAACAAAGGUGGAAGAAACGACAAAGAAAAUGAAAUGAAAAAUGAAAAAAAGAGAGGAAAAGGAAAGGAAAAAGAAAGACAAAACAAAACAGAAAAACAAAAGAAAAUCAAAAACAAAGUUUCCUGAACUGCGUUCGACUUGAUUCCGAAAGGAUACAUAAGCAGCCUCUCUUUGGGGUUCAGCCACACCAAAAUAAAAAUCUAAAUUCCCCAAAAAUGAACUGGGGCAGGUGUUAUAAUGGUUCAGCGAUGAUACCGCCUGAAUGGUUCCAAAGUUGUAAUUCAGUCCAAAUCAUUUUUACCCAAAUCCUUUCAAGUCCUUUAAAUUAAUCGACAAAGAGGUUCAAAAUGGGAGGAUACAGUUACUUGGAUCCGAUGCAAUCAAAAUAAGAAAAAUAAAAUGAGAGAGUCUUAUUGGUGAAAACCUACACAGGCACUGUAAGGCGACGGUAAGCACAGAGAAAUAAAAUAAGAGAGUCUUGUUAGUGAAAACUCGCAAAGAGCACUAUAAGGCGACAAUGAGAAGAGAAAUAAAAGAGGUCACCUGGUGAAAACCCGCAAAGGGCGCCCCUGAUCGAAAAGAGGAUCCUCAUAGCUCGGGGUGUUCAUGGUUUGGUUUGGAUCAGGUUUUCCCUAAAAAGAAACCAACCAAGUAAGUCGAUUUUUUAAAAAUUAGAACCAAACCAAACCAAUUAAGUCGGUUUUUUCUCGAUUCGGUUUAUGUUGGUUUUUCGAUUUUUUCGGUUAUUUGUCAGUUUUUCUUAAAUAUAAGACAUACACUACCAAACAUACAUUUCGGAGACCAUAUUUUCAACGUAACAUUAUCAAAUCAAUUGCCCUUUGAGAAAUCUAUUAUAUACCAAGAUAUAUUGAUGAUAAUUGAAUCAAAUAGUGAUGAAUAAUUUAAGAACUCAGUUAAAAAUAUACUCCCUCUUUUUAAUUUAUGUGAACCCGUUUGACUGGGCAUAGAGUUUAAGAAAAGAGAGAAGACUUUUGAUCUUGUGGUGUAAAAUGAGGCAAAUAUAUUUUGUGUGGCUAUAAAUCAUUGUGUAAAGGUAAAUUGUUUCUAAAUAAGGAAAGGGGUCAUUCUUUUUGGCACGGACUAAAAAGGAAAUAGGUUCACAUAAAUUAAAACGGAGGGAGUAUUAUUUUUAACACGAAAGAAAUUCUUACACUUAACAAAAGAAAACUACCAAUUAAACUAGAAUGUAAAGGUAAAGAACUGUAUUAAAUGUGCAAACGAUUAAUAUUACUAUAAUUUUUUUAAAAUUUUGCAUAAAAGUAUACAUAUAUAUAUAGGUGUAAUAAUAAAUUUAAAAUAGCUACUCCUAUAUUCGGUUUGGUUCGAAUUUUUUUUAAUUAAAACCAAAUCCAAACCAAAUUUGAUCGAUUUUUAAAUUUCAAAACCAAACCAAACCAAAAAGUAUCGGGUUUUUUGGUCGGUUUAGUUUGGNNNNNNNNNNNNNNNNNNNNNNNNNUGUUCAUUGAUGUCCGCAUAUACUCCAGAUAAGUCAUUCUUUCCUUUUCCCGAAAGGGACACUUCUUGUUUUAAACUUAUUCUCCAUUCCAUUGUUUGUUUUCUUUGAAUCUCUAUUGGUCUAACUCUGUUCCAAAACUAAGACAAAGAAAUGAUAGUAAGACUGAUUUAUAGGGUUCUCAUUUGAUGCAAGCUAAUAUGCAAAAAGGCACCCAUCCUCGUCGGGGGCAUCAAGUCAACCUCGACCGACCAUGGAGGCUGAUGUUUUGAAAUUGAAAAACUCCUGAAAAGAAAGGAAAUCAAAGUCAAAUACCUAUAAAGGCAAAAUGAAGUUAAAAAGAUUGAGUCCCACGUGGCUAACCGUCUUGGCAAAGGCUUGAAAAGCCAAGGCACCCAAAUGAUCUAAAAUUGAAGUUGGAAGAAAGAAGCCAGAAAUGAAAGGCCUAUGAAGGCGAAACAAGGUUGGAAAAGGUUAAGUCCCACGCGACUAGCCGUUGCGCCAAAGUUUGAGGAGCAGAAAGUUCCCCAAUGCUCCGAAGUUUAAAAAAAAGAAGAAAAAAAAGAAGUCAAAAGGGAAAGGCCCACGAAAGAAAAAUAAAGUCGAAAAGGUUGAGUUCCAACCGACCAACCGUCAUGGCAAAGUCUGGAAAAACCAGAGGUUCUCCAGGGCCUGAAAUGAAAUCGGUCCUCAGGGAACAACCAGUUGCAGAUGAAAGGGGUCGAGAUCAAGCGGUUGAAAUAAUCAAGGCCACAAAACAAACCACCAUUUCGAACUGACAAAUUGUUCCUUGUUUGAAAAAACACGAAACAUGUGUAAUUCAAAGCAACCUUGCAAGAAUAAGGUGCAACAAAAAGAAACUGCGCAAGGGCUAGAAACAGCUUUGUAGCAAUAAUCAAUCCAAAAGGGAAGUCUCCUCCAAAUUCUUUCCUGCAUUUUUACCCAUUUUCUUAAAUUAAAAAAAAGAAAAAUGAUGAAAAAAAAGAAAAAAAAAGAAGAAGAAAAAUUCAUAAUUAUGGUAGCCUAGGGUCCCCAAUCUCUAGCUAUAUUUUUUUAACGUAGGGUCCCAUUCCAUAAUCGCUGCCAGCAUAACCUGGUAGUCUUUUCCAGUAUAGGGUCUCACUCCUUAGUUGAUCCCUGGUAUAACCCGUGGACCUUUUCCGGCAUAACCCUAUGGCCUCCCCAGCAUAACCCGAGGACCUUUUCUGGCAUAACCCGAUGACCUCCCCAGCAUAACCCGAGGACCUUUUCCGGCAUAACCCGAUGACUCUUCUCGGCAUAACCCAUGGACCUCCCCGACAUAACUCGAGGACCUUUUCCGGCAUAACCCGACGACUUUCCCGGCAUAACCCAUAGACCUUCCCCAGCAUAACCCGAGGACCUUUUCUGGCAUAACCCGAUGACCUCCCUGACCUAACCCGAGGACCUUUUUCGGUAUAACCCGAUGACUUUCCCGGCAUAACCCGUGGGCCUUUUUGGCAUAAUACGAUGACCCCCCGGAAUAACCCGAGGACCUUUUCCAGCAUAACCCGAUGACUUUUCCGACAUAACCCGUGGACCUUUCCGGCUUAACUCGAUGACUUUCCCGGCAUAACCCAUGGACCUUUCCGGCAUAACCCGAUGACUUUUCUGGCAUAACCCGAGGACCUUUCGAGCUUAACCCGAUGACCUUCCCCGGCAUAACCCGAGGACCUUUCCGGUAUAAUCCGAUGACUUCCCUGACAUAACCCGAAAACCUUUUACGACAUAACCCGAUGACUUGCCCAGCAUAACCCGAGUACUUUUCCAGCAUAACCCGAUGAUUUUUCUAGCAUAACCUGGUAAUUUUUUCCAACAUAGGGUUCUAUCCCCUAGCUGAUGCCAGCAUAACCUGGUAAUCUUUUUCAACAUAGGAUCCCACUCCCUAGCUUUGCCAGCAUAACCUGGUAAUCUUUUCCGGCAUAGGGUCCCAUUCCUUAGUUGAUGCCAGCAUAACCUGGUAAUCUUUCCAACUUAGGGCCUCCAAUCCCCAGUUGAUUUUAUUUUAGAUAUAGGGUCUCCACUCCCUUAUCUCUUUUUUCCAAGGAUACACAAUCCCGAUUUUAUUGCUUUCAAUAAAGAAGUAAUUUAGAUUUUUGUUACAAUAACUCAAGAAAUUUUCCUAGUGAAAAUCGAGACAAAUUUCGUUUAUUUGUUUGUUUUGGUUCCUGAACAGGUUUUUACCUUAAGGCACAAGUUUCGAGGAGACUAAAAGAAGAAGUCUCGAUUCAAAUAAAAGAAAAGAAAAACAAGGAAAAGAAGUGAGCUCUAAGCGUAGAAGCGGAGAAAAGAUGCAGACUGCUCAAGAUAUGAUUGAAGUCACAAACUUUGCAUGUCCCACCUUGAUCCAAAAAGCCGAAGAAGAAUGAACCAGUGGUUGCAGCUAACGAGCAUCAAGAUUCAGAUCAGAGUCUGCAGGAAGAACCAGCCAAGACUCAAGAUCAAGCUUUAGAAGGUUUAAGGAUAGGAAUCUUGUAACUCGUAGUUGAUAGGCUUAGCUAGUUUAGCUUUUUAUUUUUUAUUUUGGGGUAAUAAGGAGCUCAGCAAGUAGAAACAACAACAACAACAGUGAAAUCAAAGUUUCUUGGUAGUCUCAGCUACCAAACUUCUAGAACUAUACUAACCUGGUUCCUUUAAAGCCAAGGAUAUGUAGGCAACCUCCAAAGCAAGGUUUGGUCAAACUUUUUCAAAAAUGCUUCCAAAUGGAGUUUCACACGGGCGAAAAUUGCUCGUAGUUGCUCUCUUUAUCUUUGCCCGAAAACUCUUCAUGUUUCCGAGCAAAGAGGGGCAGCUGUGAGCACCUAAUUUUUGCCCUACAUAAAAAUAACUCCUAAAAAUAGACCAAAAAUAAUUUAAUUUGAUUUUUAGGAGUUUUUAUUUAAUUAGUUUCAUUUCAUGCAUGUUUAAUGUUAUUAAAAUCAUAGAAAAUUAUAAAAUUUUUCACGUUUUAAUUUCAUACCAUCGUAGGUUCAAUUUGUACGUAGGAAUUAAUUUUAUUAAGCAAAAAAUCACAAAAGAUAGUCAUGUUUACAUAUUUAGAUUUUAGCCUUUAAAAUUAGCAUUUUUUCUUUAGUUUUAAGGUAAUUACUCCCUCCGUUCUAAUUUAUGUGAACCUGUUUGAUUGGGCACGGAGUUUAAGAAAAAAUGAAGACUUUUGAAAUUUGUGGUCCUAAACAAAUAAAAAAUGGCCCAGAGUAUUUGUGUGGUUAUAAAAGCUUCUUAUUAAUGGUAGAAAUGUAAGUUUAAGCUAAAUUAAUACCAAAUUUAGAAAUGAGUCAUUCUUUUUGGAAUGGACAAAAAAGGAAAUAAGUUCACAUAAACUGGAACAGAGGGAGUAGUUAUUUUAAUAUUAUAAAUAGAUAAAGAAUUUUAACUUCUACAAAAAUAGAUUGAUUUAUGAUUUUAAUUAAUUAAAGAAAAGAAAAAAAGGAAAAAAAACAAAGAAAAAGAAAAUAAGAAGAAUAUAUUUUGGUCUUGUUUGUUUUAAAAUACUUGGCCUGAGCCAAUUCCUAAAAAGGGCCCAAUUUUCCUCUUUCUUUCCCAAUCCAAUAUCAUACCCAAUACCCUCCUGGCCCAAACUCUAUUUUUAUUAAAAAGCAAGACCUAGACCUAAGGGACAUCAAAUGAAAAAAAGGAAAAAGCUCCAUUCUUCACAAAAAUAAUAGAGAACGGCGCAUCUCACAGAAGGCUUCUUCUCCAUUUUCACGCUCGCUCAACCCAUUUCUGCUUUCAUAUUCUUCCCCAUCUCUUGCACACACAUGAAAAAAUACACACGCACAUAGGCAUUCAACGGCAAACGAAAAAAAAAAGAAAGAAAAAUUCGAAAUUCUGGUUUUAAAAGAGCUCGAAAUUCUGGUUUUAAAAGAGGUGAUUUAGCCUCAAGUCACUGUUCAAUGAAGCUGUCUACAGUUGGCUUUGUGGUGCUGAAGCUCCAACCAGUUGUGGUCCUCGCAUUUGUUUGGAUCCUCUUUUCAUUUCUAGAAUUAAUCCUUACACAUAGCGAUUGCCUAUUGUUCCGGAAGAUGGAGGAAUAAAUCGAACAAGAAAGGUCUUUUCUAUUCCUCUUAUCAUUUACUAAAUCUGCUUAUGUAUAUUAGAUGAAGAAGUAUCUUAUAUUUCUUUCAUUUGUGCUAGAAAAAUUCAUAAUUCAACUAAAGGCAAAAAAAGUAUUUUUUUCUCUUGGCAUGUUUGUAUGCAUGUUGUUCAAUAAACUGAAAAAAAGUUAUCUCUUUGAAAUAUGCAUAUGCAUUUAUUUUUAGCUAGGAUAAGUAAAAAAUAAAAAGUGAGAAAAGACCUCUAUUUCAUGCAAAUCCCGGAUCUAAUUUGUAAAGAAAAUGAGCACAACCAAUACUAUUAAUAUGAUGAGGACGUAAUAUUAUAUGAGUUUCAAAAAUAGACCUACAGUUUCUGAAUGCAUCUAAAUAGCAAUUUUGUACAAAAUCAUCCACCCCCUUUUAUGUGUCCAUUUACAGAAGUCAAUAUGUGCAAUACUUGAUGUUAAGUUUCUAGUGUGUUUCCAAGGCAAUUGGACUUAACGAAUGACCUCUCAAAGUUCAAUUGGAUCCCAUUUCGUAGUAGUAUGUGAUCUAUGAAAGUCCAAAUUGGAUGCUCAACCUUUUGAACCCAAUAACUUUGUAGUUUAGUUGCAAAGCUUUUCUAGAUUAAUUAAUGAGGUUUUCAUUUGAUUAUAUAACAAUUUAUCAAUCUGCCAACCUUUAGGUGUUUUGGUUACAAAUGAUUACAUAAACUCUUUGGACCUCCGCAAUGUACCUCAAGCUUUAGUUGGUUAAACAAAUUAUGAACAUGCGCUACUUGCUUAAGGUGCGAUUAGUAAUAACUUAUCGUGACUAUAGGUAUGGUUCUCGUGGUAUGAUCACGAUACCUAAUCCCCAAAAUCGAGUGUGCAUUUCAUGUGACCCGAUCAUAAUAACUUUGAACAAUAAUAAAAUAAACAUGUCGAGAACCGCGAGUGCAUUUCAUGUAACAUGGUUUGCGGUGUGUCCCGAAAUGGCAAGUGUACGAUAAUCAUAACUUGUUCAAGAAAUAAUUUCAUAAAUCCUAAAAAGUGGUUAUAAAGUUAAAAAUGCACACACUAAGUUUAAAACAUGUAAUUAAUCAGAUAAUUAGGCCAAUUAUUGAUAGUUAAAGCGACCGUGCUCGAACCACGGAACCCGGGAAUGCCUAACACCUUCUCCCGGGUUAACAAAAUUCCUUACCUAGUUUUCUGGUUUUGCAGACUUUUAAAUAAAGUCAAUUUUCCUCGAUUUGGGAUUUUUAAAAUAAACCGGUGACUUGGAACACAAAAAUAAUUAUCCCAAGUGGCGAAUCUGAAAUUAAAUAAAAAAUAUUCCCAUAUCGAAUUAUGUCACUUUAAUUGGAAAAACUCCCUUAUACCUCCUCUCGGGUGAUAAAAAGGAGGUGUGACAAACGGUAUUAACCAUAUGAUCGAAUAAACAACGGCCCAAACCACAAUACCUCUCAGGCGAUCGAAGAAGUGACCAAGGUUCAGGUUUUCAGGGGCUCAUGAGCAAGAACGGGUUCGGUAAGCACAUUUACCCCACCGAAGCCCCCGAUUAUCAGAAUACAAUUUCAGCAUAGAUGCAUCAGGGAUCGUCUCGACUAUUGGGAGAAUCAAAUAUACUAAGCGGCCCGGCCAAUACAGACCGACCCCUACCAAAGAAACCCGAACUUGAUAUGCAAGUAUCAUGGCAUACAUGGGCACAGAACGGAGGACUGCACACAGCUAAGGGAUGGAGUGGCUAGGUUAUCAAUGAGGGCCACCUUCGAGAAUUCCUAAGUGAUCGGGCUAAGAAUCACUUCAAGGAGAUGGAUGUAGGCAGAAAGAGUGAACCAGAAGAACCCCAACAUGUCAUUCACAUGAUCAUCGGCAGAGUCGACGUCCCGUAGGGACCAAUAUUCAAACACACCAAAGUAUCCAUCAUAAGGGAAAAGCGACUCGGGAUUACUUGCCAGAGGACACCCUGACAUUCAGCGAGGAAGACAUCGAGGCUUUAUCUUAACUUCACAACGAUGCACUGGUAAUUUCUACCCUUUUAAAUAAAGUUCAAGUUAAAUGUGUUCUCGUGGAUCCAAGUAGUUUGGCGAAUAUAAUCAGGUCCAGGGUCGUGGAGCAGCUCAGGUUGCUCGAUCGAAUCAUACCGGCGUCUCGGGUCUUGAAUGGCUUUAACAUGGCAAGUGAAAUGACGAAGGGAGAAAUCAUCCUCCCAGUCAACGUGGCCAGAACCAUAAAAGACACCAAAUUUCAUGUCAUCGAAGGUGACAUGAGAUACAAUGCUUUGCUCGGAAGGCCAUGGAUCCAUAGCAAGAGGGCGGUACCAUCGACCCUCCACCAAAUGAUAAAGUUCCCAAUGAAGGAUGGCGUGAAAACAGUAUAUGGAGAGCAACUUAUGGCCAAGGAAAUGUUUGCAGUGUACGACUUAGUAUCGAUGUCGAUUCCAUCCACAUCGGAGAAGUCAAAGGAUGAACAGGUGACCAAAUAGCAAUCACAGAUUGUGCCAUCGGUUGAGCCCGAGGGACAAAUGUCCAAUGAACAGGUGGCCGAGAGCGAAGAAUAAGAUUUCCUCACCCCUCAAACUUUCGUUGCCCCCGAUGAAUCAGAUGCAACGAAAUCCAUGAUUAAAGAACUCGAACAGGUCAUAUUGAUCGAGCAUCUUCCGGAACAAAAGGUAUACCUGGGGACGGGGUUAAUCCCCGAACUUAGGAAAAAACUCAUUCAAUUUAUCAUCGAUAAUAUUGAUUGCUUUGCUUGGUCCUAUUUAGAUAUGACAUGAAUUCCACUGGAGAUUACUACCCAUCGACUAAGUGUCGAUCCUAGGUUUAAACCGGUGAAGCAGAAGAGGAGACCUCAAUCUGAGGUAAAACAUGCAUUCGUCAAGGAAUAUGUAACCAAACUUCUCAAAAUAGGAUCCAUUAGGGAAGUAAAAUAUCCCAAAUGGCUAGCUAACAUAGUGGUAGUCCCUAAAAAGGGGAAUAAACAUAGAACGUGUGUAGAUUACAAAAACCUGAAUAAAGCAUGCCCUAAAGAUUCUUUCCCAUUGCCCAACAUCGAUCGUUUGAUCGAUGCUACGACUGGCCAUGAGAUUCUUACCUUUCUCGAUGCCUACUCCGGGUAUAAUCAGAUUCAAAUGAACCAGAGGAUCGGGAAAAGACUUCGUUCAUCACGAAGUUUGGUACAUACUGCUAUAAUGUAAUGCCCUUCGGGCUAAAGAACGUAGGGGCCACAUAUCAAUGUUUAGUUAAUAGGAUGUUUGAGCAUCAAAUAGGCAAAUCCAUGGAAGUUUAUAUUGAUGAUAUGCUAGUUAAAUCCCUGCACGCAGAGGACUAUUUGACCCAUUUACAGGUAACAUUUGACAUCCUUAGAAAGUAUAACAUGAAGCUCAACCCCGAGAAAUGCACUUUUAGAGUCGGCUUGGGCAAGUUCUUGGGCUUCAUGGUAUCGAAUAGGGGCAUAGAAAUCAAUCCCGAUAAAAUCAAAUCCAUUGAAGAAAUCACUAUGGUGAACAACGUAAAAGUCGUGCAGUGGCUGAUCGGACGGAUUGCUGCCCUGGGUCGAUUCAUCUCGAGUUCAUCAGAUCGGAGCCAUCAUUUCUUCUCCCUACUUAAAAAGAAGAACAACUUCGCAUGGACCCCAGAGUGCCAGCAAGCCCUAGAAGAAUUAAAACGGUAUCUCUCGAGCCCUCCUUUGCUCCAUAUUCUGAAGGAGGGUAAAACACUCUAAUUGUAUUUAUCUGUGUCAGAGUUAGCGGUAAGUGGAGUGUUGUUCGAGAAGAGCAAGGUACGCAAUUUCCUGUUUAUUAUGUGAGUCGGACCCUAGGGGGUGCUGAAACUAGGUAUCCACAUUUGGAAAAAUUAGCUCUUGCAUUAGCAAGCGCAUCUAGGAAAUUAAAACCAUAUUUUCAAUGCCAUCCUAUAUGUGUACUAACUACAUAUCCACUUCGAAAUAUCUUGCAUAAGCUCGAAUUAUCGGGUAGAUUGGCCAAGUGGGCCAUCGAACUUGGAGGAUAUGAUAUCAAAUAUCAACCUCGGAUGGACAUCAAGUCUCAAAUUUUAGCAGACUUCAUGGCCGACUUCGCUCAUGCCCUCGUACCCGAAGUAGAAAAGGAACUCUUGCUAAAAACGAAUACAUCGGUGGGGGUUUGGACCCUCUUCAUGGAUGGUGCCUUGAAUGUGAAAGGGUCCGGGCUCGGCAUCAUUUUGAAAUCACCUAUCGGCAGUGUUAUUAGGCAAUCUAUUAAAACUUCUAAAUUAACUAACAAUGAGGCCGAGUAUGAAGCCAUGAUCGCAGGUCUUGAACUAGCCAAGGGCCUUGGAGCAGAGGUCAUCGAGGCAAAAUGUGAUUCCCUUUUGGUGGUAAACCAUGUAAACAAAAGCUUCGAGGUUUGAGACGAUCGAAUGCAGAGGUAAUUGGACAAACUUCAAAUAACGUUGCACCGCUUCAAAGAAUGAACACUGGAUCAUGUACCUCGAGAACAGAACAGCGAGGCUGAUGCACUAGCAAACUUGGGAUCGUCAGUUGAAGAAGAUGAUAUCGUCCCGGGGGCUGUCAUCCAGUUGUGAAAGUCAGUGAUCGAAAAAGGCCAUGCAGAAAUUAACUCGAAACGCUUAAUAUGGGAUUGGAGGAACAAAUACAUCGAUUAUUUAAAGCAUGGGAAGGUCCCCUCGGACCCAAAGGAGUCAAGAACACUCCGAGCCAAAGCGGCUUGAUUUUCCCUUGAUGAAAAUGGAACAUUAUACAGAAGUACCUUCGAUGGACCACUGGCAGUGUUCUUGGGACCCAUGAUACAGAUUAUGUACUCUGGGAAAUACAUGAAGGCUCCUGUGGGAACCAUUCUGGUGUAGACUCUCUGGUUCGUAAGGUGAUCAGAGCAGGAUAUUAUUAGGAUAGCAUGGAAAAUGAUACCAAGGAGUUCGUUCGGAAGUGGGAUAAAUGCCAGAGAUUUGCACCAAUAAUUCAUCAACCCGGUGAACAACUUCACUCGGUCCUAUCCCCAUGGCCAUUCAUGAAAUAGGGGAUGCACAUCGUCGGCCCCCUACCAACGGCGCCAGGUAAAACUAGAUUCAUUUUUUUUAUGACUGACUAUUUCUCAAAAUGGGUUGAAGCACAUGCCUUCGAGAAGGUAAGAUAAAAAGAAGUCAUCAAUUUCAUAUGGGAACACAUCAUAUGCCAAUUCGGGAUACCCGCCAAAAUAACAUGUGACAAUAGAAAAUAGUUCAUCGGCAGCAAAGUGACAAAAUUCCUCGAGGAACAUAAAAUCAAAAGGAUCCUAUCGGCACCUUACCACCUGAGUGCAAAUGGGCAGGCCGAGUCCACCAACAAAACCAUUAUUCAAAACUUGAAGAAAAGGCUAGAUGAUGAAAAGGGGAAAUAGAGAGGUGUUGCCUGAGGUAUUAUAGGCAUACCGAACAACAUCGAUGUCAAGUACGGGGGAGACCCCUUUUUCUUUGGUAUAUGGAUCCGAAGCUUUAAUCCCAGUAGAAGUUGGGGAGUCCUAGCGUAAGGUUUUAGCAUGCCACCGAAGACUCAAAUAACGAAGCAAUGACCACUUCUCUCGAGCUACUAGAUGAAAAAUGUGAGGCUGCAUUAAUAUGAAUGGCUGCGCAAAAACAAAGAAUCGAAAGGUAUUACAACAGAAGGACAAAACUUCGAUAUUUCAAAGUCAGGGACUUAGUACUGAGGAAAGUCUCUCUUAACACUCAAGACUCAAACAAAGGGAAGCUAGGUCCCAAUUGGGAAGGACCGUACCGUGUCCUCGGAGUCAUAGGGAAAGGAUCCUACAAACUCAGUACAAUAGAAGGCGAGCAACUACCAAAUAAUUGGAAUAUAUCAAUGCUCAAGCGAUAUUACUGCUAAGCUCGAAGACCUUGGGUAUGAAAGCAUUCGUUGCACUCUUUUUCCCUUAGAUCGGGUUUUAUCCCAAAUGGGUUUUACCGGCAAGGUUUUUAAUGAGGCAAUACCUAUAUUCUACGCAAGGGUCACUCAACGAGUAUUCAAGGCUUCUUUUCAAUCAAUCUUGAAUACUGGGGGGCAUCACCCUCGGAGGUUAUAGCUCCAGAAAAGACAUUUCGCGCCUAAUAGGGCCUCGACAUGAGAACUUUGUAAUGGGCCAAACGGUCAAAUGAACCGUGUCCAUAUAGAAUAAUUGAGCCCCAAUGGCAAAGCGUGUACGCAUGUAUUAACUAUUUAAAGAAGCAUUUUGGUUAUAUCAAAAAACACUUUGUAUCUCAUACAAGCUCUAUACUUACAAUCCUACGGGAAGUGGUUCAAGGGCCAAAACACCCCGAAAUACCCGGGGACUGUCAUUAACAGUCAAUAUAUCGAAGUCAUCAAAAAAUCAGACUUAUAAGACCUCAAAGAGGCAUUAUAAGACCUUAAAGAGUCACCCCUCUCGAAACGAAUGCCAAGGACAACUCACUCAAGGACUAACUUUUCGAACAAGUUCAGAAGGUUAUCAGGAAACGAGUCCAAGUGACAAACCCGAAGGCUACGACCAUACUAAAGACUACGGUCGCACAAAGGCUAUGCCCAAAAUAACGUGAUUCGGAGAUGUCCGAUUUUCGCUAUAAAACUAAAGGCCUUCAAACAUUGAAAAAUCGGUUAAAUCAGGCUAGCCCCGGCAAAAGCAAAAUAUAAGGGGCCUUGAAAAAUUCGGCCCUUGAAAAAUCUAAGGGCUUCAAUAAAUCAGCCCCCGAACAAUCCAAGGGCUUCGAUAACACUAGCCUUCGGAAAACCCUUAAGAGGGAUUCAAUCAUGUCCACGCAAACAAAACAACUAAUAAGGUUCCGAUACAUCGAGCCUUCAAAAAACCCAAUAGGUACAAAAAACAUGCUAAGGCAUAACUAAAAUUUUAUUAAGUAUUUUAGCCGAAGUGAGGGAAAACUAUAUAGCCAUUUUUACAGGCCGAAACGGCCCAAUUUAAAGAGCCUAAGGGCCAACCUAAAAGAGUAUAAGGGCCAACCUAAAAGAGCGUAAGGGCCAACCUAAAAGAGCCUAAGGGCCAACCUAAAAUAGCCUAAGAGCUAACCUAAAGAGCAUAAGGGCCAAUUCUAAAAAGAGAGAGCCUAAGGGCCGAUAUAAAAGAGCCUAUGGGCCAGUUUGAAAAAAAAUAUAGGGUCAAAGACCUAUGGGAGUCUAAGACCCCAAUCUCGUUUAAUCCGGACCCAAAGGCCCCGAGCUCGCAUUAAUUUGACUUUAUGUUUGGCUCGGGGAUCAUCUUAAACCCUAAGGGAUAUAAUCCCGAGCAAUAAAAGCCUAAGAGCUUAUUGCGAGUCUAAACCAAUACUCGAACUUAACAGGUGAAUCAUAGAAAUUUUUUAUGAACGGAGACAAAAUAAAUAGUCAGCACAAAUCAAGAACAGAGCAAAAAGUUACUUUAUAUUCAUCCGGGAAAUUUACAAAGCAUGUUACAACGAAGGACUCUUAUAUAAAAAUAGAAACCUAAUAUAUUUUCGGGGCCACGUCCCCGGGAGUGCCGCCUUCAUCUCCGAUAGCUUUAUCUUCUGGAGUCUCUUCCCCUUCGGGAGCAUCCUCUCCACUUUCCUUGUCCCUGAAACCACUCACCACGUUCUCAUCAUUAGAGAAGACAAGAAACCUAGCAUCAGUUUCCCAUGCCUGUGCCUCGGCUAUCUCCUUGGCAAGGUCGAACCCUCGAGCACGGACUUCCUCGAGAGUCUCCCUCUAGGAUUGACACUUAGCCAAUUCAUUUCUUCGUUUUGCCCAGUUGGAGGCCGCCCUUAACUCAGCUUGAAUGGACAUAACUUCUCUCUUGUAUAUAGCAAUGGAUUUAUCAGCCAAAGCUUUCGUCUUCUCGGCUUCAGCCUUGGCUUGUGCAGUUUCAGCCUUAGCAUAUGCAGCUUCACUCCGGGCUUUAGCAAGCUCGGCCCCUAGCCCCUUGAGUUCCCUGGGUUGAGCCAAGCCUUUCACUUCAGCACCACGGAGCUGAGCUUCAGCCGAGGUCAGUUGAGCCUUAACGACUUCCUUUUCAACGGCAAGUUGAUCCACGUUCUCCUUCCACUGGAGGCAAUCAACCCAAACUUGAUUCACCUCGUCCCGGAGCUACCCAAUCAUAUCCAACUUUUGCUGUAGCUGAGAUAUCGAAGUAUUAGCUUCCAAAGUAGGGCCAAGAAUGCCUAACUUUGUUAAAAUCAAAGUUACCUGCUCAUCCAGCUCGGACUCGCUUUUUUGAGCUUUGGCCAAAGCAAUUCGGAGAUCCUUAAGCUCCUCUUCCUUCUAACUACAAAGGAGCCUCUAGGACUUCUCUUCACCCGAGACUCUCUUUAGCUUGACCUCACAUUGUCUCAGUUCAUCCUUGAACUUUGCAACAACCUAUACGUGAAAUAAUGAUGCGUCAGUAGAAGAGGAAGACAAAGGGAGAAGAACUUGCAAUAGAUAGGGCAUGUCUUUACCCGAGAAAAGAGACGCUGGGCAUCUUCAAAAAUGGAGGAUGCAUUAUUGAAAUCAUCGGCAGCCUCAACUCCAGUGUAGCAACUCUGGAAAGGAUCGUCCCCGAUGACCUUACUUGGAUCGGUCAUAUGCAAACUGUCGGUUUCCUCGAUUGCCUCCCUAGAAUAAGUUGGCAAUAAAAGGGAACGACCUGUUGUUUGGCCCCGAGCUCUUCGCUCGGGGCAUUCUCAUUAACCUUGGGGCCCUCAGCAUUUACCCCCUCAAGCAUAGUUGUUGAAGACGGAGGGACGAUCUCAACCUCCGGAGACAUGGGGGCCUUACCCGCCUCUUCUCUUCCGGCAUCCACACCACAAGGUGGAUUUUCUAGUUCGGAAGGCUUGACGGUCUCGACUGGCCUCCCAGUCUGAGUCACCAGAACUGGUUCUUCCUCAUUAUCCUCCUCACCACCUAGGGAGUCAUGGGCUGAGUCUGCGCCCGUUUGAGCAAAUCUUUUCUGCAGCCUUCGAAUGGAGGUUUUCUUGUCUUGGGGGUCUUCGGGAUUCGAGACCCUCUUUCUUUUAUUAUCCUUCUCGAGCUUUGAAUUUGAAGGCUUCGUUGUUUCCCCGGGCGGGUCCGGUCUCAUCUCGGAAGCAUCUCCAAGGCCAUGGUUCUUGGCCUCCCAUUUGCCCUUUGCCAAAUCACACCACUUAUGCUUGUCAUAAGAGGAUGUGGCAGCUAGUUUCCUAACCCAAUCCUCAAGGUCAGGCACCGCCAAGGGCGCCCUAGCAUUGGCUGCCAAAAAAAAGAUGAGUAAGCUAUGAAAAAUGAAAAAAACAAGAAUAAAUACAAAGGAAAAUGCGGACUCCACUUACGGUUAAACUUCCACCUCUCCGGGAAUGACAUUUUUCCCUCGGGGAUGAUGUCCGAAGUCCUUACUCUAAUAUCGACUCAUCCAACCUCGAUCUUUGGUUUCAUCAAUACUAGCGAAGAAGGACUUCGUGGUUCGACGCUGCAUCUUGAUAAGCUCUCGGAAUAACUAGGGUCGAUACAACCGAACUAGGUGGCUGAGGGUGAAUUCGAAACCCUUGGCCUUCUCAGAGAAGUACCGCAACAUGAUAAUGAUACGACAGAACGAAGGGUGGAUUUGGCCAAAGGUGACUUCGUAUGUCUUGCAAAAGUUGAUCACCACUGGAUCGAGGGGGCCCAAUGUGAAGGGGUAAGUGUAAACACUCAAAAGCCCCUCCUUGUGGGUAGUUAUGCUUUCGUCAGGCUUCAGGAUCUGAAUCUUGACAUAGUCCCCCCAUCGACGAUCCCUCAUAAUAUCCUUGAUGAGCUGCUCCAUUAUUAGGCUAAUGUAUCGGGGUACGUGCUCAUAUCGGCCUUCGACAUUGGGAGGAUUCUCGAUACUAAAGUCCUUCUUGAUAAUGCAAUCACUAGGAGUGAUCUCUUCAAGUGUCGGCGGCGCCACCGGUUUGGCCAGCCGGGAGGCAGAGGAUGAUGAUGAUGUAUCCUUUUUAGGGACCGUCUUGGAAGUUUUGGCCAUGGUUGUAAGGUAAGGAAUGCAGGUGAACAGGGAUGCAGUGUUUCCGGCUAGAGCUUGGUAUUUAACGGCAUUUAAAGAGGCGGAGGAGAUAGGUGAUUGAAGAAAGAGAUGAGGAUUGGUAGAGAUUGAAGAAAUGUAAAUUUAUUUACUAAAGGAAGAUGCCCCAUAUUUAUAAAGGGGCAACCACGGUUCGAAGGCGUUAGUGGCCAACCAGCAUUGACGUGCAUUUAAUAUUUUUGGGGAAGUGGGCCGAUGGGACGUUUCGGUCACUUCGAACGUUGGUUUCACAAGGAUGAUGUCAUCACUAGAGGCGCGAUGAAAUCGAGGUCAAAAUCGUUUCAUAUCAUUCCAUUCUAAGAAACGCGAGGACUAUCUGUAUGCAAUCAAAAUCGAGGAGCAUGAUAUUUUGAAGUCUUAAAACGGGCUACAGGUCCGAGCCCGGGAGACUCGAAGUGGAUAUCGGAUCCGACUAAGGGAUACCCUCCUCGAGGAAGCUAAUCGAAGGCCUGACACGAUUUAUAUCGAGGGCAUCACAACCUCGAAGUCAAUCAAGAAAGAGCGGAAAUUUCUUAAGAACACGUGGACUAGGGGAUUAAUUAAAGGAUAAAGUUUGUACGAAAUGUUACAGAUCCGUACUAGGCCGUUAUACACCUGUAUCAAUAAAAUCCUUUACUUUUAUGAGGAAUGUACUAUAUUGGGGUUUUCCCUUCCUAUAUAAAGGGGAUCCCAAUAAUUUUGUAAGGCAUCAAAUCUUUCACUACAAUAGAACAUUGUUAUUCUUUUCUUGUUUAACGUGCUCAACAAUUAUUCUUCAGCUUUAUUGCCUUUACUUUAUUGUUCAUACUUUGUUGGUCUUAGCUGACCUCGAGGUCCCUGGAUAGACGAGCUCGAGGCCCCUACUGUUUCGACAACAUUGAUUUGGUUCAUUAUUCCUUCUUACUUAAGCUCAAUAUUACCUAUUUAAUUACUAGUAUUAUAAUAUAUCACGUAUUUUUUAAACCUCAAAUUAUCUUUUAACUAUUAAACCCAUUUUUCGAGGUAAACAAACAUUUGCAUCUUUUAUAUAUUUUGGAUAUAAUUAAGAUCAUGUAGGUGCAGCACUUCCUACUAUAACUCGGGCUGAACUGAAAUUUGAUCUAAGAUCAAAAUUAUUUGGACUCAGCGGUUUUAGAAAACGCCUAAUUUGCCAAAUCGAGAUUAACUCGAGUUAAUUUAGUGAAUUAUCUUGGCAAUACUAUUAUUCUCAUAAACAUAGACAGCUUUAGAUAAGUUCUGUCCAUGAGAAAUGUUAUGAUGGCAAUGCUUAUUGCUUAAUUUUCUCAUGAGGGUAAUUAUGACAAAUCUAAGAUUCAGAUAACAUAGGAAUUAAUAGGCAGCUAAUCAAGGAUGCAUACCUGUUAGUGCAUCCAUGAACGACCAAGUUCUUCUAUGCGAAGCUGAGGGAACUGCACGACAAACAAGUUCAGCAUUAAUGUAAUCACAUCGGAACAAUUGUCAAACAUACGACUCUGCACCCACUUACUUAAAAUUCUAAAUGUGCCUAUAAAUUUCAUAUUGUUGCUUACCUGAAUCGCAAUUGGAAGUAGAAUUCCAGCUACCACACAUGCACAAAGUACUGCUAAAGUCAUUGACAUCAUAGCCACAAGAUCCACCAGUUGCCUCACAAGCU